ensembl:lncRNA
AGAGGCGAUGGGCUGCGCCCCCCCCGGGGCAGACCCCAAAGCACCGCCACCGCCACCAGAACCUGAGGGGGGCACAGCGGGGUCGCUAUAGGGCCGCUAUGGGGUGGGGGUCACUAUGGGGUGGCUAUGGGGUGGGGUCCCUAUGGGGUGGGGUCCCUAUGGGGUCACUAUGGGGUGCGGUCCCUACGGGGUGGGGUCUCUAUGGGGUCUCUCUGGGGUGGGGUCCUUAUGGGGUGGCUUUGGGGUGGGGUCACUAUGGGGUGGGGGCCCCUAUGGGGUCUCUAUGGGGUGGGGUCCUUAUGGGGUGGCUAUGGGGUGGGGUCCCUAUGGGGUGGGGUCUGUAUGGGGUGGGGUCUCUAUGGGGUCUCUAUGGGGUAGGGUCCUUAUGGGGUGGCUAUGGGGUGGGGUCCCUAUGGGGUCCUUAUGGGGUGGGGUCCCUAUGGGGUGGGGUCUCUAUGGGGUCACUAUGGGGUGCGGUCCUUAUGGGGUGGGGUCCUUAUGGGGUGGCUAUGGGAUGGGGUCCCUAUGGGGUCUCUAUGGGGUGGGGUCCCUAUGGGGUCACUAUGGGGUGCGGUCCCUAUGGGGUGGGGUCUCUAUGGAGUCCUUAUGGGGUGGGGUCCCUAUGGGGUGGGGUCUCUAUGGGUCCACUAUGGGGUGCGGUCCCUACGCGGUGGGGUCUCUAUGGGUGGGGUCCAUAUGGGGUGGCUAUGGGAUGGGGUCCCUAUGGGGUGGGGUCUCUAUGGGGUCUCUAUGGGGUGGGGUCCUUAUGGGGUGGCUACGGGGUGCGGUCCCUACGGGGUGGGUCCUCUACGGGGUGGGGUCUCUAUGGGAUGGGGUCCUUAUGGGGUGGGGUUUCUAUGGGGUGGGGUCCUUAUGGGUUGGCUAUGGGGUGGGGUCUCUAUGGGUGGGAUUCUUAUGGGGUAGCUAUGGGGGGGGGUCCCUAUGGGGUGGGAGCCCCUAUGGGGUGGGGUCUCUAUGGGGUGGGGGCCCUUAUGGGGUGGCUAUGGGAUGGGGUCCCUACGGGGUGGGGUCUCUAUGGGGUGUUGGCCCCUAUGGGGUCACUAUGGGGUGGGGUCCCUAUUGGGUGGUUAUGGGGCAGGGGACUCUAUGGGGUCGCUAUGGGGUCGCUAUGGGGCUGCUAUGGGGCAGGGGUCCUUAUGGGGUCCUUAUGGGGUCCUUAUGGGGUCGGUAUGGGGCUGCUAUGUGGUCCUUAUGGGGUGGUGGUUGCUAUGGGGUCCCUAUAGAGUCGCUGUGGGGUGGGAGUCACUAUAGGGUGGGGCCGCUAUGGGGCCGCUAUGGGGUGUGACUGCCUGUAGGGUGGGGUCGCUAUGGGGCCACUAUGGGGUGGGGGUCCCUAUAGGGUGGGGUCGCUAUGGGGCCGCUAUGGGGUGGGGUCCCUAUAGGGUGGGGUUGCUAUAGGACUGCUAUGGGGAGGGGAUGCCUAUAGGGUGGGGUCGCUAUGGGGUAGCUAUAGGGCCGCUAUGGGGCGGGGGUCCCUAUAGGGUGGGGCCACUAUGGGGCCGCUAUGGGGAGGGGAUCCCUAUAGGGUGAGGAUCUCUAUAGGGUGGGGCAGCUGUAGGGCCGCUAUAGGGCCGCUAUGGGGCAGGGGUCCCUAUAGGGUGGGGAUCCCUAUAGGGUGGGGUCGCUAUGGGGCCGCUAUGAGAUGGGGAUUCCUAUAUGGUGGGGUCGCUAUGGGGCUGCUAUGGGAUGGGGAUCCCUAUAGGGUGGGGUCGCUAUAGGGCCGCUAUGGGGUGGGGAUCCCUAUAGGAUGGGGUCGCUAUGGGGCCGCUAUGGGGCAGCGCUAUAGGGUGGGGGUCCCUAUAGGGUGGGGUCGCUAUGGGGCCGCUAUGGGGCGGGGGUCCCUACAGGGUGGGGUCGCUAUGGGGCCGGGGUCUCUGUAGGGAGGGAUCCCUGUAGGGUGGGGUCGCUAUAGGGCCGCUAUGGGGCGGGGGUCCCUAUAGGGUGGGGAUCCCUAUAGGGUGGGGCCGCUAUGGGGUGGGGAUCUGUACAGAGUGGGGUCGAUAUAGGGCUGCUAUGGGGCCGGGGUCCCUAUAGGGUGGGGUCGCUAUGGGGCCGCUAUGGGGCUGCUAUGGAGUGGGGGUCCCUAUAGGGUGGGGAUCCCUAUAGGGUGGGGUCGCUAUAGGGCCGCUAUGGGGCCGCUAUGGGGCGGGGGUCCCUAUAGGGUGGGGAUCCCUAUAGGGUGGGGUCGCUAUGGGGCCGCUAUGGGAUGGGGAUCCCUAUAGGGUGGGGUCGCUAUGGGGCCGCUAUGGGAUGGGGAUCCCUAUAGGGUGGGGUCGCUAUAGGGCCGCUAUGGGGCGGGGGUCCCUAUAGGGUGGGGUCGCUAUGGGGCCGCUAUGGGGCAGGGGUCCCUAUAGGGUGGGGAUCCCUAUAGGCUGGGGUCGCUAUGGGGCCGCUAUGGGGUGGGGAUUCCUAUAGGGAGGGGUCGCUAUAGGGCCGCUAUGGGGCGGGGGUCCCUAUAGGGUGGGGAUCCCUAUAGGGUGGGGUCACUAUGGGGCCGCUAUGGGAUGGGGAUCCCUAUAGGGUGGGGUCGCUAUAGGGCCGCUAUGGGGCCGCUAUGGGGCGGGGGUCCCUAUAGGGUGGGGUCGCUAUGGGGCCGCUAUGGGGCAGCGCUAUGGGGUGGGGACGUGGCAGUACCUCCAUGGCCGUUCGGUCCCCUCCGCCCCACUCGCGGCCCCCCGACCCCCCCGUGGCUGUGGGGUGUGGGUGGGGGGUUAUGGGGCCCUUUAGGGGAUUUGGGGGGGGGGGCGUUAACCCUAGCGCUGCCGGGAGGGAUUCGUUAAUUACUGCUAAUUGUGUUAAUGAGCGCCGGCAUUGGGGGGGAUCUGGGGGGUCU